rnacentral:rRNA from 1 species
AGGAUGAACGCUGGCGGCGUGCCUAACACAUGCAAGUCGAACGUCCUGUCUCGCAAGAGGCAGGGAGUGGCGGACGGGUGAGUACCACGUGGGUUAUCUACCGUGAGGUGAGGAAUACCGGCGAGAAAUCGCCGACAAGACCGCAUAGCCUCGGUGCAAGCCGAGGAAAGCUUUCUCGAGAGAGGGAGCGCCACACGAGGAGCCUGCGCCCGAUUAGCUAGCUGGUGGAGUAACGGUUCACCAGGGCGACGAUCGGUAGCUGGUCUGAGAGGACGAUCAGCCACACUGGGAUUGAGAACGGCCCAGACUCCUACGGGGGGCAGCAGUGAGGAAUUUUCGUCAAUGGGGGCAACCCUGAACGAGCAACGCCGCGUGCAGGAAGAAGGUUUCGGAUCGUAAACUGCUUUUCUCGGGAAGAGAAUGGACGGUACCCGAGGAAUCGAGCCCCGGCUAACUACGUGCCAGCAGCCGCGGUAA